rnacentral:rRNA from 1 species
UAGGGAAUCUUCGGCAAUGGGGGGAACCCUGACCGAGCAACGCCGCGUGAGUGAAGAAGGUUUUCGGAUCGUAAAGCUCUGUUGUUAAGGAAGAACGAGUGUGAGAAUGGAAAGUUCAUGCUGUGACGGUACUUAACCAGAAAGGGACGGCUAACUACGUGCCAGCAGCCGCGGUAAUACGUAGGUCCCGAGCGUUGUCCGGAUUUAUUGGGCGUAAAGCGAGCGCAGGCGGUUAGAAAAGUCUGAAGUGAAAGGCAGUGGCUCAACCAUUGUAGGCUUUGGAAACUGUUUAACUUGAGUGCAGAAGGGGAGAGUGUAAUUCCAUGUGUAGCGGUGAAAUGCGUAGAUAUAUGGAGGAACACCGGUGGCGAAAGCGGCUCUCUGGUCUGUAACUGACGCUGAGGCUCGAAAGCGUAGGGAGCGAACAGG